GGACUGAGGAUGAAACUGGACUCACCUGGGAGCAGCGGUGCUGACACAGUACAAGGGCCCGAUGUAAAGGCAGAAAAAUUCAUCUGGAAAAUUCAUUAUGAGCUCAAGUUGAGGACGUUUCCCUCCAGAGUCUGCUUUGCCUCUGAGAAAGAUCAGGCCAGCAUCAUGUCGGGCUGCAGCAUGACAGGGUGUGAGGGGAGGUCUGUUUCUGUCUUUGGUUAUCUAGCUGUAUGAGUGUUAAAUACCUGUCAUAAAGCUAGAUAACCGAAAGUAGAAAUGACUUCCUUUAAACGUAGUGUUUUAAUCCCGUCACAGAGGAGGCACUCUAAUCUGAAGAGAAAAAAAACAGGCCUCCGAUCAACAACACUGAAUGAUCAGGGAUUCCUGAAAAGAGGGUAGAAGCAUCAUUAAAAGAAAACGAGGAGAGAAAAACGGCUGGUCCGGAAUUGCCACCUCCUCCUCCUCCUCUUCCUUAUCCCCCUUCCCCCACUCCUCAAUCUUUUUUACCCAAGAGUCUCUAAUGCCAUCUGUACUGCCAACGGGGGACGCAGUGCCCGUGCCAGGAAGGCGGACAAAGACCCUGCCGGAUCCUUGGAGUAUGGGCGCGCUCAGAGGAGCCAUCUUGGGAGAUGUCGCCGCGACACCUAAAAUGGCUGGGCUGGCAUGUGAGGAUGGGACAAGAUCUGCAAGCCCCUCUGUACUCUGAAGGAACCUGCUUUGGCUCAGGGAGAUCUCGGGCUAAACUUCGCCAGCAGAGACCAGAACAUGACAAAGUCACCUAAACACUGCAAGGAGAGUUUUAUGUUAAAGAAAUGUAGAAGGAGAUAUUCUGUAAGCCUGAAACAUACAACUCAAGAUAUGUCUGUAAUCCAUGUAAAUACAGAGUUUAAUUUAUGGUAUGAUUUUGUGUGAUUAGACAUGUUUAUGUCAAAUCUAUUAUUUUAAAAUAAAAAAUAAAAAGCAUUACAUUUUAUCCUAACUUUGUACACAAAAUAUUAUGUGCAAUUUCUCAGCUAAUGCAUG